rnacentral:pre_miRNA from 1 species
AUAAUACUCCCUCUGUUCCGAAUUACUUGUCGCAGGUAUGGAUGUAUCUAGAUGUAUUUUAGUUCUAGAUACAUUCAUUUCUGCGACAAGUAAUUUGAAACGGAGGGAGUACCUA